rnacentral:rRNA from 1 species
UACGUAGGGCGCAAGCGUUGUCCGGAAUUAUUGGGCGUAAAGAGCUCGUAGGCGGCCUGUUACGUCUGCUGUGAAAUCCCGGGGCUUAACCCCGGGCGUGCAGUGGAUACGGGCAGGCUGGAGGCAGGCAGGGGAGAACGGAAUUCCCGGUGUAGCGGUGAAAUGCGCAGAUAUCGGGAGGAACACCGGUGGCGAAGGCGGUUCUCUGGGCCUGUACUGACGCUGAUGAGCGAAAGCCAGGGGAGCAAACGGG